rnacentral:rRNA from 1 species
CCUACGGGGGGCUGCAGUGGGGAAUAUUGGACAAUGGGGGGACCCCUGAUCCAGCCAUGCCGCGUGUGUGAAGAAGGCCCUCGGGUUGUAAAGCACUUUCAGUGAGGAAGAACGCCUGGUGGUUAAUACCCAUCAGGAAAGACAUCACUCACAGAAGAAGCACCGGCUAACUCCGUGCCAGCAGCCGCGGUAAUACGGAGGGUGCGAGCGUUAAUCGGAAUUACUGGGCGUAAAGCGCGCGUAGGUGGCUUGAUAAGCCGGUUGUGAAAGCCCCGGGCUCAACCUGGGAACGGCAUCCGGAACUGUCAAGCUAGAGUGCAGGAGAGGAAGGUAGAAUUCCCGGUGUAGCGGUGAAAUGCGUAGAGAUCGGGAGGAAUAGCAGUGGCGAAGGCGGCCUUCUGGACUGACACUGACACUGAGGUGCGAAAGCGUGGGUAGCAAACAGGAUUAGAUACCCCGGUAGUC